rnacentral:rRNA from 1 species
GAACGACACGGAUCCUAUAAUGCAGUCGAGCGACUGAUUAAGAAGCUUGCUUCCUUUAUGACGUUAGCGGCGGACGGGUGAGUAACACGUGGGCAACCUUGCCCUAUAGUUGGGGAUAACUCCGGGAAACCGGGGCUAAUACCGAAUAAUACAUUCCAUCUCCUGUUGGAAUGUUGAAAGAUGGUUUACGCUAUCGCUAUAGGAUGGGCCCGCGGCGCAUUAGCUAGUUGGUGAGGUAACGGCUCACCAAGGCGACGAUGCGUAGCCGACCUGAGAGGGUGAUCGGCCACACUGGGACUGAGACACGGCCCAGACUCCUACGGGAGGCAGCAGUAGGGAAUCUUCCACAAUGGGCGAAAGCCUGAUGGAGCAACGCCGCGUGAGUGAAGAAGGUUUUCGGAUCGUAAAACUCUGUUGUAAGGGAAGAACAAGUACAGUAGUAACUGGCUGUACCUUGACGGUACCUUAUUAGAAAGCCACGGCUAACUACGUGCCAGCAGCCGCGGUAAUACGUAGGUGGCAAGCGUUGUCCGGAAUUAUUGGGCGUAAAGCGCGCGCAGGUGGUCCUUUAAGUCUGAUGUGAAAGCCCACGGCUCAACCGUGGAGGGUCAUUGGAAACUGGGGGACUUGAGUGCAGAAGAGGAAAGUGGAAUUCCAAGUGUAGCGGUGAAAUGCGUAGAGAUUUGGAGGAACACCAGUGGCGAAAGGCGACUUUCUGGUCUGUAACUGACACUGAGGCGCGAAAGCGGUGGGGGAGCAAACAGGAUUAGAUACCCUGGUAGUCCACGCCGUAAACGAUGAGUGCUAAGUGUUAGGGGGUUUCCGCCCCUUAGUGCUGCAGCUAACGCAUUAAGCACUCCGCCUGGGGAGUACGGUCGCAGACUGAAACUCAAAGGAAUUGACGGGCUCGCACAGCGGUGGAGCAUGUGGUUACCGAGCACCGCGAAGAA